AUGGCGGAGACCGACGCUAGCGCCAGGACAAGCGAGCCCCCGCAAGCGACAGCGCCGGUCACGGCUACGGAAACGGCGGCCGGGACCGUGCCGACGCCGAUGGCGGAGGAGGGGGCGGUGCCUCCACCCGGUCUCGAUUAUAAGAGGAAGCUUGGCGAGACAGGAGGGGAGGAGGCGAUGCUGCCGAUGGACGCGGAGCAGGGUGGUGGCGGCGCCGAGGAUCGGGCGGGGGUGGGAGGAGAAGGGGAGGAGGAGAUGGCGGAGACAGGGUCCAAGCGGCCGCACGGGGACGGCGAGGGCAACGGGUCAGGUAUUACUCAAACUGAAGUGCAUGGACCUGAAACAUCAGAAGUGGUGAAUGGGGAGGUUCCUGUCGAUGAAAGCAUGCUGUGCAGCUCUGAAGUAGAUGGUCCAAAAGAAUGUUCAGAACUUCCUCAAGAAGAUGAUGAGCCCUCACCAGAACAGCAGAGUGCCGAGGCGCUUACCCAAGAAGUGACGCGAAAAAUUGAAAUUCCUCAAAGCAAGGUUGAUGUAGGUGAUUCAUCUACACUCGCUGCUAGAAGUUUUGGGACUCCACAAUCUGGUGCUGAGCAAGUGGACAUCCAUGUCCCAAAUGACAAGGCUGAGUUCGUCAUUGGGGAGGGAGGUGAGACCAUUAAGGCUCUAAAAACUAAGUCCGGGGCUGACAUUCAGUUAAUCCCGGAACAUCUCCCUGAAGGCGAUCUUUUCACAGAAAGAAAAAUACGACUUACUGGGAAUUGGAAUCAAAUAGAGAUUGCAAGAACAAUGGUCCUAGAACUCAUCAGUCAGUAA
rnacentral:rRNA from 1 species